GUCGUUGAAAGCGAAACCAGUCAACGAGAAAAAGCAAAAACAAAAAACACAAAAAGGAGUCAGCAGGAGUAAGGAACAGGAAUAACAAUGCAACGGGAGGAGAUGGAAGGGGGAGACACAUGAGUCAGCCAGCAACAGCAACAGAUAUACGGGAGUACUGGCAACAGAGCCAAGAAACCAAGAAACCGAGAAAACUUGGGGGCGUCGCUCCGUUGCCUAAGAAACUAACAAAGAGUUCGACUCGGAAUCGGAGUUGGAGUCGGAUUCGGAAUCGGAAUAUCGCUAUCAGACGGAACUGAAACCCUUUUGUGACCCGCAGGGAUGGAUUACGAUUUGAUUGCCAGAAGGCGCACAAAGAAGUGCCAACUCCAAAGGGUAAAUAAGUAAAUAAGCGAGUAAGCGAAUGGAAGGCGAUAAUGAAAGGGAAAUGCACUUGCAGGCGAUAUAAAUAGCUACAGUAACUGUAAAACUAAACUAAAGAGCUGCUUUAAUUUAAUGAAGAAAUAUACAUUUGAAUGCACAAAUGUAGCGCAUCAAAAAUCGAAUUUAAAUGCAAAAUCGAACAAAGAAAUGGAAGAAGAAGAAGUGUGCCUUCGGGAAUAUUUAUACAGGCGAUAUAUAUAGCUUAUCCCGUGUGGCUGGCAAUCCAUUCAACCCCAGACACACCCAUCGCCACACCCCCUGCCCCCUGCCCCCUCCUCCGGCAACAAUGAGUGCGUAAAGUGCGUUCAAGGACGGGCGACAGCUGCAAUUGAUGACAGAUACGCGGGGGGUUGGGGAAUGGCGAAGGGGUGUGGGUGUGCGGAAUAAGGAGGAGGGGGAGAGGAGGCGACACAAGACGGGGGUGUAAUGCGAGCAUAUGCAGCCGAAAUCCACAAACAAGUACAUAGGCACACUCCCAUAAAUAAGCGCAUACAUACAACAGAGGCCACAAAAAUAGGCGGUGUUUUUCUAAAUGCACCAAUAAAAUACGUUUAAUCGUAAAUAAUAUAAAUACA